AGGUUGGUGGCUAUAUGAGGGGAAGCGCGUGUCUUCAAACCGCAGAUCCGAGGGUUCGAAUCCCCACCAAUUCA
rnacentral:tRNA from 1 species